AUGGUUACGAAAGCCAGGCAGCUGUCUUUGAAUAACUCUUCAGAUACUAUCUCAUGGAAGCAUAGUAGUAAAAGAAAAUUUACGACUAAAUCAGUUUAUGAGUGGCUAGAAAGGAACCUAUCUGGCCCUAACUACAAGUGGGUGUGGAAGGCUCCUAUUCCACUGAAAAUCAAAAUUUUCUUGUGGCAACUUUUUCAAAAUGUUGUGCUUACAAGAGAUAAUAUGCGGGCUAGGAAGUGGCCUUGGGAUCCUACAUGUUCUUUUUGUACAAAUGUUGAAACAGCAAAUCAUCUAUUCAUUACUUGCCCACUUGCCUGCACUGUUUGGGGUGUGCUGGGAUGA
rnacentral:rRNA from 1 species